rnacentral:rRNA from 1 species
AACACAUGCAAGUCGAGCGGUAGAGAGAAGCUUGCUUCUCUUGAGAGCGGCGGACGGGUGAGUAAUGCCUAGGAAUCUGCCUAGUGGUGGGGGAUAACGUUCGGAAACGGACGCUAAUACCGCAUACGUCCUACGGGAGAAAGCGGGGGACCUUCGGGCCUCGCGCCAUUAGAUGAGCCUAGGUCGGAUUAGCUAGUUGGUGAGGUAAUGGCUCACCAAGGCUACGAUCCGUAACUGGUCUGAGAGGAUGAUCAGUCACACUGGAACUGAGACACGGUCCAGACUCCUACGGGAGGCAGCAGUGGGGAAUAUUGGACAAUGGGCGAAAGCCUGAUCCAGCCAUGCCGCGUGUGUGAAGAAGGUCUUCGGAUUGUAAAGCACUUUAAGUUGGGAGGAAGGGUAGUAACUUAAUACGUUGCUACUUUGACGUUACCGACAGAAUAAGCACCGGCUAACUUCGUGCCAGCAGCCGCGGUAAUACGAAGGGUGCAAGCGUUAAUCGGAAUUACUGGGCGUAAAGCGCGCGUAGGUGGUUCAGUAAGUUGG